AGCAGCCGCGGUAAUUCCAGCUCCAACAGCGUAUAUUAAAGUUGUUGCAGUUAAAAAGCUCGUAGUUGAAUUUCGGGAUCAAGGGAUCGGUCAUGCCUUGGUAUGUACUGGUCUUAUUGGUUCUCACCUUCUAAAGAACCAUGAUGUCAUUCAUUUGAUGUUAUGGGGAAUUAGGACUGUUACCUUGAAAAAUUAGAGUGUUUAAAGCAGGCUCACGCUUGAAUACAUUAGCAUGGAAUAAUGAAAUAGGACGUUUGAUUCUAUUUUGUUGGUUUCUAGGAUCGACGUAAUGAUUAAUAGGGAUAGUUGGGGGCAUUAGUAUUCAAUUGUCAGAGGUGAAAUUCUUGGAUUUAUUGAAGACUAACUACUGCGAAAGCAUUUGCCAAGGAUGUUUUCAUUAAUCAAGAACGAAAGUUAGGGGAUCGAAGACGAUCAGAUACCCGUCGUAGUCUUAACCAUAAACUAUGCCGACUAGGGAUCGGAUGAUGUUAAUUUUUUAAUGACUCAUUCGGCGCCUUAC
rnacentral:rRNA from 1 species